UCCGUUCCACGCACGCGCUCGAAUGCGGCAAACAGAGGAGGUUUACAACGAAACUUCCUAACGAUCGAAACUCGUCCGAACUAGACUUGUUUGUUCCAACUUCGAAAGAAAUGGAAAAAAAUCUGAAGAAAAAAGCAAGAUUUGUAAGACUCUUAUAAGACUCGUGCUGACCUGUGCUGUGCUGUGAUUCCAUGUGAAUUGCGAACACUUCAAGAAAUUGAAGCACUGUUGAUACCAUUGGUUCUUUGAUUAGUAACAGAAGUCUGUGACAUUCUUGCCACGUCUUUAAUGAGGUUUGCUAAAACAAAAGGCCUACCAGGAAGCACAGCUCUGUCAUACGUGUUGUCGUCCUUGAGAGUGUUGCCCAAGCUCAGGCUUAUAUUUCUUCAUGGACCUCUUCCACCAGCUGACCUGCAUUUAUGCUGUCUUAUGUCUCUUUGAGGGAUCUCUCAAUAUUUAGCUGAUGACGUCACCUGUAAGCUUACUUUUUGCCAUUUUGUCUGCUGCGUAUAGUGAACUCUACCAUCUUGUGGAUUGUAACACAGGAUCAGAUUUUGUGGUCGCCACCAAAUUAUACUGUGAGGCACGUAAGCAUAUUAUGCCACCAUAAGGCAGGGUAACUACGGGGGCUUUAGCCCACAUUCCUAUAGCUGUCAGCAUGCCAAUGACUAUGUUGCAAAUGAGCUCCACAUGUACAGUUUUUCUUUGCAUAAUGAAACAAAGCACAAAUCAACUGGGCAGUGUUCUUUUUAAAUUCAACCUAUUAAAUAAUGACCAUUUAAGUUCCUGAAAUAUCCAGUGUCAAAAAAUUUUGUUUUUCUCUGGUGUCCUAUGUUUAUGGAAAUGUUCUUGCACAUACACAACACAACGCAAUGUCCCAUCAACAUAUAUUAACAACAAUGCUGUAGUUUUUGAACUGCACAGCAUGUUCCAAACAACCAAAAGUGCUGCGGCACUUGCAAGCUGAAUGCGCUUCAAUCUAAAGAAAAAAGAAAAA